GAGACAUCUAUCAGUUAGGAGGGAGACAUCUAUCAGUUAGGAGGGAGACAUCUAUCAGUUAGGAGGGAGACAUCUAUCAGUUAGGAGGGAGACAUCUAUCAGUUAGGAGGUAGACAUCUAUCAGUUAGGAGGGAGACAUCUAUCAGUUAGGAGGGAGACAUCUAUCAGUUAGGAGGGAGACAUCUAUCAGUUAGGAGGGAGACAUCUAUCAGUUAGGAGGGAGACAUCUGUCAGUUAGGAGGGAGACAUCUAUCAGUUAGGAGGGAGACAUCUAUCAGUUAGGAGGUAGACAUCUAUCAGUUAGGAG
ensembl:lncRNA